rnacentral:lncRNA from 1 species
UUUUUCAUAAUCACGUACAAAAUUAUGUUCAAACUACAGUGCUAGCUUCUUUAUUUGUUUAUUACGUCUUCUUUACUAUCACAAUGUUGUCCAGACCAAAACAACAACAACAAAUGUCUGAUGUAGACAGUAAGGGUGAAUCAAACUACCUGUAAGAGUGCUCAAAUUCAUUUCAUAUGUUCCUCUAUUUCCCUUUGUUUUCAUGGGUGUUGAGGCUAAUUAUGACCAUGGUAACAUUGAGUUUCUCCAACAUGCAGAAACUGAAGUAUUAUUGAAGAGCCCGAAAACCAUAAUAUGGCGUAGUUCUUGCUACAAUUAUAUGUUGUGAUCCUAAAUUUUAAACUUGACAGUGCUGGAAUUAGGAAUUACUUUUGGGCCGUGCAUGUCGAUAUGGAGAGAAAACACGGAUUGCAUGGACUUCAACCUUUGUAUGUGACUAAACCUUGCCUCUGUUACUAGCAUUGUGUUAAUGCAUUGUAUUUUAACUAGUUUUUUUUUGGUUUGUAGAUUCAAGAGAUAACUGGAUGAGUAUGCAGGUGUGUGGCAAGUACACUUCAAUGAUGAUGUUGAUGUUCUGGUUCAUGAUGAUGAUGGAUGCUUUCACUUUUAGUUGUAGUGAUGUUGACGUUCAUGUUAGAUGUUGUUCCUCGAUUACUAGUUUUAAUUAAGUUGUAGGAAUGUUGAAGGAUGCUUAGUUUAAGUUUCUUUGUCAAGAAAUGGGUAGAUUAUGCAUCGCAUCUGGAUGAUGU